UCUGCGAUUGUUAGUUUUGCA
ensembl:piRNA 21ur-15 ncRNA